rnacentral:lncRNA from 1 species
UUAUGUAAUUACAAAUUAAAUUAAGAGAUUUUAUUUUUCUUUUUAUCUACUUGGCUUGGCCUAUAAAUAGGCCACCAAGUCUUCAUUGUAAGGAUUCAAAAAUUAUCUCAAUAAUAUUAAGAGUUUAAGAGAGGUUUUUCUAUUAUCUUGUUGAGUAAGGAGUGGAUUUACUUUUCAAGGUACGACCUUAUGUGAGUUUCUGAUCACGUUAGUUGAUCUUAGAUUUCGCAUCAUUCGGUAUCAGAACUUUGGCUCUAUGUAAACCUACUAUCAUUUACUUUUUUACUUUUAAAUUCUUGCACUGUUUAUUUAUUUAUUUAAUUUUUUUCGUUCAUCUAUCCAGAAAAAGGAUUAUCUCAUACAUCGAUCCAAGUAAGACAUAAUGUCAAUUGACGCUUUCUUGGCUUGAUAAAAUCUUUGUUGAGUAUCGAUAUUUUUUUUUAAUAUACUUUUCUUUCAAAUUUGUUUCCUGUGCAAAAAAAAAAGAAAAAAAAAAAGAAGAGAAAAAAAAGAAGAGAAUAGAAAAAAAAAGAGAAAGAGAGAAAAUAAAGGAAACAAAGGAAAAAAAUCCCACCGGAAAAGUACUUAUCUUUUUGUUAGUCAACCAUCCUUAUUUGAAACGGUGCAAGAACCACCUCUUCAUAAGGCAAAAGCUCAUUUUAUUUUACAAUUUUUUUUACAACCACGUGCAUUCACACUUACAUAGUUCAUUAAAGGCUACAUUUUUUUAUAUAAAACGUAAUGUACAUCAAGAAUAGAUUUGUAGAAAUAUCUUUCGGAUUUCUUUUUGGGACAACCAAAUCGCUACAUCUUCUAUAAACCUUCAAUUUUUUUUCCACUCUCAGUUUCUUUUAUUGUUCUAAGCUUUAAUUUUCUGAUAUAUCUAAGUGUCUAAAUUGCAUCUUAGAGUUUAGCAUAAUCAAUAACACACUACCUCUUCUUCUGUGUGUUACACUCUUCCUUCUAGUAUUGGUGCGGUAUUUGUUCUAUAGGACUCCUUGCGAUAUCUUAAAAGAAUACUUUUGAAUACUUUGAUUCAAGAGGAUCUAUCCGUCACUCAACUUGAGGGUGGGGGAUAAAAAGGUAAAAGACAAGAGUGUGUGAGAUUAUUAGAGGAUAAAAGCCAAGUGAGUGAAAUAUGAGAGAACUGGUGAAAAAAACUUUUUUUUAGCCCUUUUGCAAGAAAUCUUCUUAAAAUGUCAAGUGAGCAUCAAAACCCUGCCAACAUAAUGCUCCUUAUGGAGGCUAUGCAUGCAGAAUUGAUACGACUUAAUUAGAAGAUAGAUAACUUGAGUAGUGGUCGAAAUGAAACAAGACACAGGAUCCCUAAUACAAGGCAGCCUAGAACUCAACAUCCUAAAAAUGAAGCUGGGUCCUGUAAUGAUGCUGAGAAAAAUAGGGUGGAGAAGAGAGAAGAAAGGAGGGCUAGUAAUAUAAGCUCCAUCAAGA